AUACGUAGGGAGCAAACGUUGUCCGGAUUUAUUGGGCGUAAAGGGCUCGUAGGCGGUUCAACAAGUCGGUCGUGAAAGCCCGGGGCUCAACCCCGGGACGCCGGUCGAAACUGUUGUGACUAGAGUUCGGUAGAGGUGAGUGGAAUUCUCGGCGUAGCGGUGGAAUGCGCAGAUAUCGAGAGGAACACCAUUAGCGAAGGCGGCUCACUGGGCCGAUACUGACGCUGAGGAGCGAAAGCGUGGGGAGCAAACAGGAUUAGAAACCCCAGUAGUCC
rnacentral:rRNA from 1 species